AGAGUUUGAUCAUGGCUCAGAACGUACGCUGGCGGCACGCCUAACACAUGCAAGUCGAACGAAGUAGUAAUACUUAGUGGCAGACGGGUGAGUAACAUGUGGGUAUCUGCCCUUUGGCCUGGAAUAACACGAGGAAACUUGUGCUAAUACCGGAUAAGUCUUUACGGAGAAAGCUUUAUGCACCAUUGGAUGAGCCCGCACUUGAUUAGUUUGUUGGUGGGGUAAUGGCCUACCAAGACUGUGAUCAAUAGCUGAUUUGAGAGGAUGAUCAGCCACAUUGGGACUGAGACACGGCCCAAACUCCUACGGGAGGCAGCAGUGGGGAAUCUUGCACAAUGGAGGAAACUCUGAUGCAGCGAUGCCGCGUGAGUGAAGAAGGCCUUUGGGUUGUAAAGCUCUUUCGUCGGGGAAGAAAAUGACUGUACCCGAAUAAGAAGGUCCGGCUAACUUCGUGCCAGCAGCCGCGGUAAUACGAAGGGACCUAGCGUAGUUCGGAAUUACUGGGCUUAAAGAGUUCGUAGGUGGUUGAAAAAGUUGGUGGUGAAAUCCCAGAGCUUAACUCUGGAACUGCCAUCAAAACUUUUCAGCUAGAGUAUGAUAGAGGAAAGCAGAAUUUCUAGUGUAGAGGUGAAAUUCGUAGAUAUUAGAAAGAAUACCAAUUGCGAAGGCAGCUUUCUGGAUCAUUACUGACACUGAGGAACGAAAGCAUGGGUAGCGAAGAGGAUUAGAUACCCUCGUAGUCCAUGCCGUAAACGAUGUGUGUUAGACGUUGGAAAUUUAUUUUCAGUGUCGCAGCGAAAGCGAUAAACACACCGCCUGGGGAGUACGACCGCAAGGUUAAAACUCAAAUGAAUUGACGGGGACCCGCACAAGUAGUGGAGCAUGUGGUUUAAUUCGAAGAUACGCGCAGAACCUUACCAACACUUGACAUGUUCGUCGCGACUUUAAGAGAUUAAAGUUUUCGGUUCGGCCGGACGAAACACAGGUGCUGCAUGGCUGUCGUCAGCUCGUGUCGUGAGAUGUUGGGUUAAGUCCCGCAACGAGCGCAACCCUCACUUUUAGUG
rnacentral:rRNA from 1 species